ACGACGGUACCGUGGUCGGAAUUGCAGUAGUUCAUCCAUGUGAACGACACUGUAUUAUGGUCAGGAUCGUCUGAUUGCAUCGAACCACAUCGAAUAGACGUACCGCACAGUGAUCACCGUUAUGAAAAUAGGUUCGAUUUUUUUAUUCAUUUUAGACCAUAACUAAAUAUCAGAUAUGCUUAAUUUCAGUUGAACCUUAUAAGUUUACGAAAAUGUUUAAUAGAAAUUACACUUUUCUAAUGGAUUGAGUCUUCUUUUAUGAGCUUAACCCGACCCGGCUAACCCGGACGGGUCAGGCACGUCAGGGCAAAACGGAUCCGCCCGUCAUAUUGAGCCAAAUGGACAUGUUAGUCCUGGUCCGAGGUGGGUCUGGUCUGAUGGAACAGAGGUAUCAUUAUUUAUCAAGGUACAUCUACCAACCAUUGUCUUUUUUUGCAAUAUUUGUUUAUCUCUCUUUCCUUUUCUAUUGCUAUUUAUGUUUUUUUGACUAAAUUAAAAAUCGUUUCAUAUUUACUUCAUAAUUCAACAUUAUCAUUCUUACAAUUACGAAUUUCCAAACCUUCUUCAUUUCCUGUUGCUUACAACCUAAUUCGUUUUUAAUUUUUUUCCCAAUCAUCUAUCCUUUUUUUAUACUUUCCGAACUUUGUUUGUGUCUUCAUUCAGAUAAUUUUUCAAGUUAAUCCUUUUUUCUACUGGAAUAGAAAUCUAUUGUUAGAUGUACCAAUACUGAUGUAAUUCGUUAUUUAUGCGUUAUAAUUUUAUCUUCUUUCAUACACUUGUGGAAGAAACUAAUCCAACAGUAAUUUAAUUUUGUUUUGAAAGCCAUAUUUCUCCAGUGCGAGUAUUUAUAAUCAUUCUAAUGAGAAUUCAAUUGUUAAAUUCAACCUUGGUUUGGAGUCGACCUCGCCAGUUCAUUUGUAUAAUCCGCAACAUCGCAAAUUCUUAUUCAUACUUUGAGUUCAUGCACUAUAUAUUUUAUUUCUAAUAAAGAUGCAAGGAGAACAAGAAUCAAGUUCGACAUUAUAAAUGAUAUUAUAGAACUGAUUAACAUUAAAGGAUUUUUUUAAUUGAACAUGUAAGAAGAAAAUAUUAUCAUUAAUUUUUCUUUUUACUAUUUCUGUGAUUAUUAUAUCGUUAAUAAUUUAUGUUGAAGGUUAUUUAUCGAAAAAUAUUUUCUAAAAAAUAUAUUAGAGGAAUCCAAAAUAGUAUGCAUAUUUUUCUCACCGUAAUGAUUAAUAAUGUUUAAAUUUUCACGUAAUUUUUUUUUAAUAUAAUUUACAUAACUGAUAAUGAUUAAUUCUGUAGACUUUUAGUAGAUGAGAUUAAAAAAUUUAAUAAUAAAAUAUGUAAUUUAAUAAUUAAGACUUAUAGUUUUAAAUAAAAAUACUAUUUGAAAAUAAUUGUAUCAUGAAUUAAAUCUGGAAAAAAACAAAAUCUAUUUUAGUAACAAAAUCUAUGUUUGGAACAAAAUCUAAGUAGGCGACAAUAAGAAAAUAUAGGAAAUGAACGAAAAAGUAGGUGAUAGAGAGUAACAUUUUAGUAAUUAAAAGUAGGUAAACUUGAAGAUACAUUUAAAUGCGAUACUAAUUAUUUUUAUAUUCGGAUUGGUGCAGGACAUAACUUCUCUUAUAAAAACGUAAAUACAUAGUAACGCCCAAGGGUCAGGUGGAUAACCUAGUUGAGGGAAUAUAGACAUCCGACAUCCUCAAACACGACAUGUCGACCCUAUGAAGAGCAGAUCACAACCAACACAAAGCUGGCCAGGAGGGGUACCUUAGUGGAUACCGACUGUUGACUAUAUGAAGAAUGAGAAGAGUCAUAGUCUCAUAGAGUAACAAACCUCACUUAGAUGAUGAAUAAGGUUGAGAGAAGGACGAGAGGGAGCAAGUGUUGGAGAAUUAUAUGGUCAAUAGUUACAGCCACCACAUGGCAUUAUUGAAGGGAGGAACAAGCGCAAGCACGAGUGAAAAUUCACUAUGACAUGAGAGAUCACACGUCGUAUAGUUACAGACAUGACCACCGGAACAAGGGUGAAGAAGUUUAAAUCGAAAAAUAUAAAAAAGGAAGAAGAGAUAACCAAUAUUUGGAUACCUCAUACAAAUCUGAAUCUUAUUUAAAUUAAGUAAUUGUAAUAACACUAAACGUAAUAACAUGAGAAAGUGAAAUGUGGGAAGAAGAGGGAAGCGAUCUUCGAAAAUAUGAGAUACUUCCUCUUGAGGACCAUAUAUGUUAACCUCGUAACUUUAUAGAAAAUAAAUUCAAUAUGUGAGAUGAGUUUCCUUGCUUAAAAGAUAGAAAAG
rnacentral:lncRNA from 1 species